rnacentral:tRNA from 1 species
AUUUCUUUAGUAUUAACUAGUACAAUUGACUUCCAAUCAAUCAGUUUCGGUGUAGUCCGAAAAGAAAUA